GUAGUGGACCCCGAACACCAGCACCAGCACUAGAGUGGAUUUAGCCAGUUUCCUGUGAAAGGGACAGUAGAACACUGUAUAAUCCUCUAUUGAGGGAAUCCAUUGUGCAGCAUCAGACAAUAAUCUAAUACAAUACAAAACAUUAGGCCAGGGAUGGCAAAAUCAAUCUCUGGAGGGCUGUGUCUGCUGAUUUAUGUUAUUUCCAUUUGAAUUGUGUCAAUUUAAGAUCUAUACAACUGGCUGAGGGGAGUUCCUAAUCAAUGAUCAAUGAAUGAUUGAUCAAUCAAGUACAAGGGAUUGAGUUUGACACCCCUGCAUUAGGCUGUAUGAGAAAGCCUACUGUCCAUGAUACAUGUCUGGUAAAGUGCAAAGUUUACGUAUCUGGUCAAAUGCAUGCGUUAGGUAUCUGGUCAAAUGCAUGCGUUAGGUGUCUGGCAAAGUGCAUGCAUUAGGUGUCUGGCAAAGUGCAUGCAUUAGGUGUCUGGUAAAGUGCAUGCGUUAGGUGUCUGGUAAAGUGCAUGCGUUAGGUGUCUGGUAAAGUGCAUGCAUUAGGUGUCUGGUAAAGUGCAUGCGUUAGGUGUCUGGUAAAGUGCAUGCGUUAGGUGUCUGGUAAAGUGCAUGCAUUAGGUGUCUGGUAAAGUUCAUGCGUUAGGUGUCUGGUAAAGUUCAUGCGCUAGGUGUCUGGAAAAGUGCAUGCGCUAGGUGUCUGGAAAAGUGCAUGCGAUGUGCGUCUGGAAAAGUGCAUGCGAUGUGCGUCUGGAAAAGUGCAUGCGAUGUGCGUCUGGAAAAGUGCAUGCGGUGUGUGUCUGGAAAAGUACAUGUGGUGGUGAUGGGGUUUGAGAGGGACAGGAUGGAAAAGACAUGGGUCAAGCUAAACCACAUGCAGCUGGCAUCGAGCUAAAAUAAUUGAACUUCUUGCCAGCCAUCUUUAUCUGACAGUCUCUUGCAGUGCUUGGGACUGAAAUAUAUGCCGGUACUCAUUUUGGGUGCCGGUAUUGUUUACAUUUAGGUACAGUUCCGCAUCAAGUUUGAGGUAAUAUUCUAUAAGAGGAAGAGGAGCUCAAGCAGUAGAACAUUUGAGGUGCCAGUACUCCGCUCUGGUGUACUCCGGCCUGAGUCAAGCACUGCUCCCUUGAGCACUUUCCAAAAACAAUCCCCUCAACAGAUUUGUGAUACAAAUGUCAAUAGCCAAGGAUGAUUACACAUUGCAAUCUACACGUUAACAUUAAUAUCGAGCCAACCUUUGCAUCUAAAUUCUUCAAAGACACUCAGCAGUUUAAAAAAAACAUGUAAAUAAAUCACAGCUAGAGAAAGAGUUAGGUGAAGUAGAGCGAGGGAGAGAGCAAGAGGAAAACAGUCUACAUCCCAAAUGGCACCCUAUUCCCAAUAUUGUGCACUACUUUUGACCAUAGCCUUAUCAGUGACAAUCCUAUCUACACCUGUGGGAAUGGAGCGGGCUCAAGAGACAACCUGGAUCUGAUGUCGUGUCUGUUUACUAAUGACUGACAGGAGGGUUACCCCCUCAGCCUUCAAGCCAUGGCACAGACCUGCCAACCAACACAUUACCCCAGACAGGAGUGGGAAUUAAACAAAGACUCAGGCAGUCCUAUAGGAAUGGCUUCACAGCAUGUCAAAAUUUGUCUUGCACUUAGAUAUGAGAAGAGCAUGUACAAAACACUGCAGCUGGGACACUGGGCUGUCAACCUCUGCAGUGAACAGAGUAGUCAGGAAGUCCCGCAGCAUCAUCAAGGACCCCACUCACCCCAGCCACGGAAUGUUCUCUACCGAGACGGUUCCUGGCCCAACGCUCAUAACCGCUAGGCUAUCCGCCGCCCACAACUGGGUUUAAUAGACCAGUGGAGGCUGCUGAGGGGAGGACGUCUCAUAAUAAUGGCUGGAACGGAGUCAAUGGAAUGGUAUCAAACACACCAAACACCUGGCUCAGACCAAAAUAUUAAUUCUCCCAUGGCUACGACGCAAUACAGUUAAUAAAUCCCAACAUUUCAACAGCUUAGCUGCCUUCAUCAAGGUUUCGGACACAGAUGAACCUGCUUUAAAUUCAUAACACAGCCUGUAUCCUCAGCCUCAGUAAAUGACGUGAACGGCUUGUAAACACAAACACAUGGAUCAUGAAUAUAAAAGAAAAUGAUUCAACUCAAAGGCACAUUUGGAAUAAGAUGUUCAAUUAAAAGGCACAUUUACUGAAAAGUGGUAUUUACAAUAUCUAAUGUUUUUUCAUACAAAAUCACAUAAAUGAGAUUGACUAAAGCAACAAGGCACUAAUGAGACAUCAACCCUACCUGCAUUGCUUCCGAGUGUCAUAUCUCCCAGCAUUUGUCUCUCUGAUUUUUGUGGCCAGCACUCGCACAAUAUUCACAAACAAAAUAAAGUUGAGCUGAAAAUCAAAACAAAGCAAGCAUGACUCACUGCUCAUUGUAGCGGGGCUACCGUUCUGUGGGUGACAUGGUCAGAUUGUCUCAUUGUAGUAGGGCUACCGUUCUGUGGGUGACAUGGUCAGAUUGUCUCAUUGUAGUAGGGCUACCGUUCUGUGGGUGACAUGGUCAGAUUGUCUCAUUGUAGUAGGGCUACCGUUCUGUAGGUGACAUGGUCAGAUUCUCAUUGUAGUAGGGCUACCGUUCUGUAGGUGACAUGGUCAGAUUGUCUCAUUGUAGUGGGGCUUCCGUUCUGUAGGUGACAUGGUCAGAUUGUCUCAUUGUAGUGGGGCUACCGUUCUGUAGGUGACAUGGUCAGAUUCUCAUUGUAGUAGGGCUACCGUUCUGUAGGUGACACGGUCAGAUUGUCUCAUUGUAGUGGGGCUACCGUUCUGUAGGUGACAUGGUCAGAUUGUCUCAUUGUAGUGGGGCUACCGUUCUGUAGGUGACAUGGUCAGAUUCUCAUUGUAGUAGGGCUACCGUUCUGUAGGUGACACGGUCAGAUUGUCUCAUUGUAGUAGGGCUACUGUUCUGUAGGUGACAUGGUCAGAUUGUCUCAUUGUAGUAGUUCUAACGUUCUGUGGGUGACAUGGUCAGAUUGUCUCAUUGUAGUGGGGCUACCGUUCUGUAGGUGACAUGGUCAGAUUCUCAUUGUAGUAGGGCUACUGUUCUGUAGGUGACAUGGUCAGAUUGUCUCAUUGUAGUGGGGCUACCGUUCUGUAGGUGACAUGGUCAGAUUCUCAUUGUAGUAGGGCUACCGUUCUGUAGGUGACACGGUCAGAUUGUCUCAUUGUAGUAGGGCUACUGUUCUGUAGGUGACAUGGUCAGAUUCUCAUUGUAGUAGUUCUAACGUUCUAUGGGUGACAUGGUCAGAUUGUCUCAUUGUAGUAGGGCUACCGUUCUGUAGGUGGCACGGUCAGAUUGUCUCAUUGUAGUAGGGCCACUGUUCUGUUGGUGACAUGGUCAGAUUGUCUCAUUGUAGUAGGGCUGUACACCAGGGAGUCACUAGAGAGCAGGGACAGGUAUACUGUACACCAGGGAGCCACUAGGGAGCAGGGACAGGUAUACUGUACACCAGGGAGU